GUUCAACAACAAUUCUAAACUAACUCAAACAUGACGCACGAUUUAUGCGGUUUCAUAUGUUAAAUUCCUUUUUCAAUCCCUAUUUUCUCCGCUCAGUACUACAACAAUAUUGCAAAUAUGGCUACAAUCAGACAAAUUUCAAGCAUCAAUGCAAUUCAAUCUAACUUGGAGUCGUUCGAAUGUGAAAAAUCCAGAUCGUUUCAAGCGUGAAAUACAAUAUUCCAUAGAGUUAGAUUUUACCCAAUGCAUAGCUAUUGUUGGGCUAUUUGCUAACUGAGAACGUGCUAUAUCCAACGGAAUUGGCUAAAAAGAGGUCUUAAUACAAACAUUUUAAAGAGGAGUUUUUGAUGAAUCCUAUGGGGGGAAACUGUUUGUGCGCAUCGGCUAUGCAGAAAGGUUCAAUGAGAAUUAGUGGGCUUUUGUUUGAUCAUGCGAGGUGGCACUUUUAUGUUAUGCUGGUUGGGGCAUAUCUUUUAGAAUACCCGGAGGAUCCAAAAAACUUUAGAAAAACUAUUCAAAUGAGUUUUUUUUUAUACAUUCAUAAAUCCAAAUGACUUUACAGGUAUUUAGACGUCUUAGUUUGAUUUUGAUGUUUCUCUUUCCAGCGAAUAAUGGUGGUACAGUUAUUUUGGGUUAAGCAUAUGCUUCACGUUUGUGCCAUUGACAUCUCUUUAUAAA